GAUGAACGCUGGCGGCGUGCCUAAUACAUGCAAGUCGAGCGAACGGACGAGAAGCUUGCUUCUCUGAUGUUAGCGGCGGACGGGUGAGUAACACGUGGAUAACCUACCUAUAAGACUGGGAUAACUUCGGGAAACCGGAGCUAAUACCGGAUAAUAUUUUGAACCGCAUGGUUCAAAAGUGAAAGACGGUCUUGCUGUCACUUAUAGAUGGAUCCGCGCUGCAUUAGCUAGUUGGUAAGGUAACGGCUUACCAAGGCAACGAUGCAUAGCCGACCUGAGAGGGUGAGCGGCCACACUGGAACUGAGACACGGUCCAGACUCCUAAGGGAGGCAGCAGUAGGGAAUCUUCCGCAAUGGGCGAAAGCCUGACGGAGCAACGCCGCGUGAGUGAUGAAGGUCUUCGGAUCGUAAAACUCUGUUAUUAGGGAAGAACAUAUGUGUAAGUAACUGUGCACAUCUUGACGGUACCUAAUCAGAAAGCCACGGCUAACUACGUG
rnacentral:rRNA from 1 species